rnacentral:rRNA from 1 species
GACGAACGCUGGCGGCGUGCCUAAUACAUGCAAGUCGAACGCAGUGGGGACGGGUGAGUAACACGUGGGUAACCUCCCAUCAGAGGGGAUAACACUUGGAAACAGGUGCUAAACCGAUACUGAUGGAUGGACCCGCGGUGCAUUAGCUAGUAGUGGGGGUAAAGGCUCACCUAGGAGACGAGCCUUAGCUGGUCUGAGAGGAUGAUCAGCCACACUGAGACUGAGACACGGCCCAGACUCCUACGGGAGGCAGCAGUGGGGAAUAUUGGACAAUGGGCGCAAGCCUGAUGCAGCCAUACCGCGUGUAUGAAGAAGGCCUUAGGGUUGUAAAGUACUUUCAGCGGGGAGGCGUUACCCGCAGAAGAAGCACCGGCUAACUCCGUGCCAGCAGCCGCGGUAAUUC